UAGAUUUAUGGCUGAAGGAAAAAAACUGGCCCUAAACCUACUGGUUCUGGUGAGGAUGGACCUGUAUCUCCUCCUGGAUGGAAGGUUGAACAGUUUGUGACUCGGGUGGGAGGAGUCUUUGAUUAUUUUGUGUGUUCUGCGCAGACAUCUACUGUGGUGAAGAGACCCAAUGGCAGGUAGUUGGGUGCCGAUGAUGCGUUGGGCGGUUUUCACAACCCUUUGCAGAGAUUUCUUUUCACACAUCGUGGAGCUGCCAUGCCACACUGUGAUGCAGCUCAUCAAGAUGCUCUCAAUGAUGCAGCGGUAAAAGUUGGUCAGGAUCUUGGGGGAUAGGUGAACUUUCUUCAGUCUCCUUAGGAAGUAAAGACGCUGUUGUGCCUUCCGAACCAGAGUUGAGGUGUUCAGAUGCCAGGACAGAUCCUCAGAGAUGUGGACACCCAGGAACUUAAAGCUGGAGACACGCUCUACUUCAGACCCGUUGAUGUAAAUAGGGGAGUAAAACUUACAAGGUCUCUCUCUCUCUCUCUCUCUCUCUCUGUCUCUCUACCUAUCUACUAAUUAAUAAACUUGGCCAUUUUAAUGUUGUAGAUUUAACAGAAAAUAUUAGUUGUAAUUGAACUUACAUGAAACUCAUUUAUUGCAGAACCUGUGGAUUUGCAGGGAGAAUCAUCAGAUACUCCCUCAGUCCUCCAGGUUGUUGAGCCAAUCCUGCCGCUGCUGCCCACAGAAACUCACUCCACAUCUUCAGCUGUUGUUCUGCCCCUCAGUGCUGGUGAGCUGAACAGCACCUGCUGUAAUGUUGACUACAACACUGCAGACUCCUCCAUCUCCCAGUCUGGGGUAUUGUACAGUGCUGUAGCUGAGAUACAAACACACACACAUCCUUCUUUACAAGUUCUAAUGUUUAGUUUUGUUUCUUUAUUUCUAGCAAGUGGACCUUAGGAGAGACAUCCUCAGGUUUAUAAGGAGUCCAGAGAGUCGUCUC